GAGUUCGAUCCUGGCUCAGGAUGAACGCUGGCGGCGUGCCUAACACAUGCAAGUCGAGCGGAGCAGUCUUGAUGAAGUUUUCGGAUGGAAUCAGGAUUGACUUAGCGGCGGACGGGUGAGUAACACGUGGAUAACCUGCCUUAUACUGGGGGAUAACAGCCAGAAAUGGCUGCUAAUACCGCAUAAGCGCACGGCGCCGCAUGGCGCAGUGUGAAAAACCACGGUGGUACAGGAUGGCCCCGCGUCUGAUUAGUUGGUUGGCAGGGUAACGGCCUACCAAGACGGCGAUCAGUAGCCGGCCUGAGAGGGUGAACGGCCACACUGGGACUGAGACACGGCCCAGACUCCUGCGGGAGGCAGCAGUGGGGAAUAUUGCACAAUGGGGGAAACCCUGAUGCAGCGACGCCGCGUGAGCGAGGAAGUAUUUCGGUAUGUAAAGCUCUGUCAGCAGGGAAGAAGAAUGACGGUACCUGAAGAAGAAGCCCCGGCUAACUACGUGCCAGCAGCCGCGGUAAUACGUAGGGGGCAAGCGUUAUCCGGAUUUACUGGGUGUAAAGGGAGCGUAGACGGAAUUGCAAGUCUGAUGUGAAAAUCCGGGGCCCAACCCCGGAACUGCAUUGGAAACUGUAUUUC
rnacentral:rRNA from 1 species